UCUAAAUUCAAUGACGGACAUCCCUGCGGUUGUCUUGUCCUGAUGACCGCACUCGGUGUAUUCCCAACCCAACGUCCGGAAUACUUCUCUACAUCGAUCGUGUGGGGCUCUGCUAACUGGAAUUUUGAGCAGCUUCUCGUCCAUCUUUAUGUUAAGCCUUUUACAUAUCUGAUAUGUCAGGAUGUUGAGGUUAGGAAGCAAUUUCAUUUUCUGUUCCUCUACCUCACAGACUUUAUGAAUGUUUUCAUCUAUCAAACACCUAUCAUGCGUUGAUAGAUCAGAAUGUGUUAUUUUCCUUCUGGUAUAAAAUGAUUUUAACCUAUCACUGAUGCUCAUUUUCUUGUGUCUCAUUUUCUUGCGACUCAUGAUUGCGUUGUCCAAACAAUUUAAGUCCGGGACAGGGGGUGUGGGUCCCGUAAUUAUUCCACAUUUGUGGCACGUCCUUUUCCCGUUUAUAUCAUAAGCUGGUGUUCACCCCCAAAUUCACAGAUUUCCAUCCUUUUUCUGUCUUCACAGUCAACCACCUCCUUUCUCAGACGCUCCCUUUUCUCGUAAUCCGUUUCCAUAUAGUCCUGAUGACUUUCCAACCGUUUAAAAGUCUCUAUGAUCAACUCCCGCUUCUUGCUCUUGUAUUCCUUCUCAACGAUUUUUCUGAUACUUUCCAAAAACUCACUUUUUCUAUCCGGUACAGAACACUGUGCCAUUCCAAACACUUCAGAUAGGGAAAGACCCCAAUCCCUCUCCCUUAGGGAUAGAUCGC